CUGCUGAAUUAGUGUUUGGCUCAGGUAGAAUUUAAUCAACUCAUAACUUCUUUUAAAUCAAGAGUUUGAGUUACACACUAAGGAUUUAUUAUGUCUUUAAAUGCUACAGAAAAAGCAGCAAUCGUUGCAGAAUACGCUCAAAAAGA
rnacentral:ncRNA from 1 species